rnacentral:rRNA from 1 species
UACGUAGGUGGCAAGCGUUGUCCGGAUUUACUGGGCGUAAAGAGCGCGCAGGCGGUCGUUCAAGUCGCGUGUGAAAGCCCCCGGCUCAACUGGGGAGGGUCACGCGAUACUGAUCGACUCGAAGGCAGGAGAGGGAAGUGGAAUUCCCGGUGUAGUGGUGAAAUGCGUAGAUAUCAGGAGGAACACCGGUGGCGAAGGCGGGACUCUGGGCCGAUACUGACGCUGAGGAGCGAAAGCGUGGGGAGCAAACAGG